UCUAUACAUAUAUUAAAGCAUAGAUUUCUGGGGGAAUGUGUUUCCCGCCAUUGCACACAUCAAAUUUUCCAGAGGGUAAUUUUGUUUGUUUUAUCUGCUGAACAUUGCUAAGAUGUGCAAUUUUGGCUCCAAUAAUUGGAGCCUAAAUUCAAAUUCAAAAUUCAAAUUCACCAUAUCUUGGAGCCAAUUUACUAUGAAUUUAGUCUAUAAAUACCAGAUAAUUUGGAAACUACACCACAAAGUCUGGAAAAGUUCUUCUCUAUGUAAACUUUUUCUCGAGCUUACUUGUGCGGACUGGCUAGGCGAAGGCGCCGAGGUCGGAGAAGGCGAGGCGACGACAAAUGCUGAGCUUGCGCACUGAGACGGAGCGGGGCAAGGUAGAUGCAGGCUGCUGCUGAGGAGUUUCCGAGGUGAAGCCAAAUGGGCGACGACAACAAGAGGAGGCGGACGACGACCGGCGGAAGACUUAGAGAGGUUGCUGACGAGACAGAGAAUGAGAGUGAAAGCAUAGGGAAUUCAGAGGUGAGUGCAGCGCAAAUGAGUUUGCAAUUUUUGGAGAAGGAAGAGAGUAGAUCUGAAAAUUUCGAAAGAGGUUGGAAUUGGGUGAGAGAUUGAAAGGUUUGGAUCUGGGAAGGUAAGGUUGGGAUUGGGAGUUUAAGAUCUGGUAAGGGUUUGCGGGGGGUGGUGUUAGGGUUGAGUUUGGGGAGAACACUCUAGAAUUCCUAGGUUGAAUGCGGCGCAUGGAACCCUAGAACUGAAGAUGGCUCUUUUUAUAUGACUCUGUAUUUAUUGCAGAAUUGCUUAGUUGUUGAUGAUUAAUUGAUGGUGUAUCAGUGCAUGAGGUAUAUAAAAAAAUGUUGUUGGGCUGGAAUUUUUAUUAUUGCAGCUAAAAUAUUGUAGUUGGCCUGUAAAAUGAUAGUGUUUUGGGCUUGGUUUUUUUGUGGUACAUAAUAAAUUUGGUGUGAAAGCAUAUACUUCAAAUAUUUAUUGGAUUCAGCGAAAAUUAUUGUAUUGGGCUUUUA